AAAACGGUCCUUUCCAGGACCACCAAAUGAGUUUAAGGAAUAUUU
rfam:Anopheles atroparvus strain EBRO unplaced genomic scaffold supercont1.29, whole genome shotgun sequence.